rnacentral:rRNA from 1 species
GACGAACGCUGGCGGCGUGCUUAACACAUGCAAGUCGAACGGAGUGGCGAACGGGUGAGUAAUACGUGUGUAACCUGCCUUCUUCUUUGGGAUAAGCCUGGGAAACUGGGUCUAAUACUGGAUAGUGGGGGAUGGGCUGACGGCCUAUCCGCUUGUUGGUGGGGUGAUGGCCUACCAAGGCGGUGACGGGUAGCCGGCCUGAGAGGGUGACCGGCCACAGUGGGCCUGGGAUACGGCCCAGACUCCUACGGGGGGAAGCAGUGGGGAAUAUUGCAGAAUGGACGGAAGUCGGAUGCAGCGACGCCGCGUGGUGGAUGAAGGCUUGCGGGUUGUAAACUCCUGUAGAUGCUGAAGGGGUAGGUGUUGAAUAAGCGCCGGCUAACUACGUGCCAGCAGCCGCGGUAAUUC